UACGGAGGGGGCUAGCGUUGUUCGGAAUUACUGGGCGUAAAGCGCGCGUAGGCGGACCUGCAAGUCGGACGUGAAAUCCCCAGGCUCAACCUGGGAACUGCGUCCGAUACUGGAUGGCUUGAAUCCGGGAGAGGGAUGCAGAAUUCCAGGUGCAGCGGUGAAAUGCGUAGAUAUCUGGAGGAAUACCGGUGGCGAAGGCGGCAUCCUGGACCGGCAUUGACGCUAAGGAGCGAAAGCGUGGGGAGCAAACAGG
rnacentral:rRNA from 1 species